rnacentral:misc_RNA from 1 species
CCAAUAGCGUAUAUUAAAGUUGUUGCAGUUAAAAAGCUCGUAGUUGAAUUUCGGGGUCAGUAGGUCGGUCGUGCCACUGGUAUGAACUGGUUUUACUGAUUCCUCCCUCUUGAAGAACUGUAAUGCCAUUAAUUUGGUGUUGCAGGGAAUCAGGACUGUUACUCUGAAAAAAUUAGAGUGUUUAAAGCAGGCUUUAGCUUGAAUACAUUAGCAUGGAAUAAUGAAAUAGGACGGUUGAUCCUAUUUUGUUGGUUUCUAGGAUUGACGUAAUGAUUAAUAGGGAUAGUUGGGGGCAUUAGUAUUCAAUUGUCAGAGGUGAAAUUCUUGGAUUUAGUGAAGACUAACUACUGCGAAAGCAUUUGCCAAGGAUGUUUUCAUUAAUCAAGAACGAAAGUUAGGGGAUCGAAGACGAUCAGAUACCGUCGUAGUCUUAACCAUAAACUAUGCCGACUAGGGAUCGGAUGAUGUUAAUUUUUUAAUGACUCAUUCGGCGCCUUACG